rnacentral:misc_RNA from 1 species
GUAAUUUAUCCAAAGAAUAAUGAGCCAAUUGCAAAACGAAUCGUUUUGCAGCACGUUGCUUCCGGCAGGCUGUCAUCAUCUUCUUCCCUAGCUGGCCAGAGAAAAACCAGCUCCGACGAAGGCCAUUUUUGAACCAUCUAGACUCUCCUGACCGUUGGCAACAACACUUGCAUCAUCGUAGACGCUGAUUCUGUUCAAGUGAGCUUGUUCACACCUCAAAACCGUGAAUAAAGAGAGAAAAGGAAGACCCAAGGACUACGGUAUACAAUUCCAAGCGCUUAGAAAACGAUCCCAAACAACGAACACGAAUGAUCUCGAUUCCAAGCCGCGAAUAGAGGGAGAAAGGGAACACCCAAGGUUUGCUAGUUGAUGUUUAGGUUACUCUCUAUUAGCCGUUUGGUUGCGGAGAAAAGGAAAAAAUUGAUAAAAAUUGUUCAAUUUUUGUGAAAAUGAAUGAAAGAAAUUGUUGAUUUUUUGUUUGAUUACCAGUAUUACUCGUGGUUUUCAUCAUUGUAUAAUAAAUUGUUUUAACUGGUUUUGUUAGGCAUUCAAUCUCUUAUUAACGACUUAAAAUUGAUCUCAUAAAAUGACAUAUUUGCGCUGUUUAUUGGAGAAUUUGUGGCCACCAACAGAAAUUUAGAAUAAAAUGCUUCUGAUUGGAUUCAAAUUCUAUUAUGUAUGUCUAUUUGCAUUAUUCUAUAUUCCCUGUUGGACUGAGGUUCGAAACUAAUGAACUCUGUUAGCUCUAUUAUCAUUGUUCGCAACAUUUAUGUUAAGAGAGUAAAGGAAGUUCUAAUACUUUAAUGGGUAUACGUGCAACACGGAGCCUUGCGUGUUAGUUUAAAGUAUUGCUUGUUACAGGAACUCUUCAAUCGAGGAAGAGUAUCUACAUAGACAAUAACACAAGUGGGGGAAUUCUGGAUUAAGAGUUUCCCAAAUCUAAAACUCUGGUAUUACCUUAAUUUUCAUUGAUAAGGAGUAGUACUAGGAUCAUAAACUCUUGGUUUAUUACUGUUAACAAGGAAGAGAUGGGGAAUGUAUUUGUGAAGAAGCCAAAG